rnacentral:sRNA from 1 species
UGUUCCAGCCCCAUUUGCUCUGUGAUUCCCACCUAUUAUGAGACAAUAUCUUCAAUUUUUCUUCACUCUUUUCCAGUGAGAAUCAUUUCUAACCCCUUUCUUAUUCCAUCCCUCCAUCCACUCCAAGAAUUUUUACUCCCAGUUUCAUUUUGUGAGCAUUUGUCACAAGGAAAGGGAAUAGAUAAAUGUGGAAAGGAAUUUCAGAGCCUGGAGACAAGAUGACCACAUUCUGGAGUGUGGGAAUGCUUCAAGGGUCUUGACCUGACCCGAACCAUGAACCCAAACUCAACUGAACCACAUUGAUUUGCAAAACUGCCUGCUGAAAUUGAACCCACAUAGUAAUUGGAGCUGAAAUGCACACUGAGAUGUCUUCUGAAAACUGGACUUGGCCUGAUGUUAUUUCGAAAGGAAGAAAUGAAAUCUAAGGGCUAGGAGCUCUCCCCAACAUUCUGGAAUGUCUUUGCUUUGCCACAUUAACUUCUUUAUGAAGUAUGCAUAGGCGUUGCUCAACUCUUCUGAAGCUGUCUGCCAACCCUCAAGAAAAAAGCACUCCCUGUGCCUCUUAAAAGGCUCCCUUGAACUAACAGACGUACGGAUGCCUAUGCAAGCCUUUGAAGAACCUGUGUAGGCUGACUGAGGAGUGAAGCGGCUGGGGAGAGUAGGUUGUGUCAAGGACAGACCUAAGUCUAAACCUCCCUCUGGUGAGUACCCUCAUCUUCAUUCCUCCUGUCUCUCUCAAGAACACCUUCCUUCGUUUGCCCCCUGAUGGUAAUG